UUUUAAGCAAAACUAGGGGCCAGCUGGUGUAAGUGGAGGGUAAAGAGGACACAAGGGCAGGGCAGGGGCUGAUCACAGACCCUGAGCGCUGUGAAGGGAGCAGGGGUUUUGUUUUUUAGUAAGGCAUUCACCGCAGUAAAAAUCUCCAUGUUUUAUACGGAUUACAUUUGAAGUGACACUCUGUUAGAACUUCUGAGCUUAAGAAAAUACAUUGUUAAAAUUAGGUUGACCUCUUUCUUUUUACUCUUUAAUGUGCCACCUGUGGCUGUGACUUUCACGUGUGGCUCGUCAGUGUAUUGCUGUUGGCAGUACUGGUCUAAGGUCUGUGGUAGAUGUCAACUCAAUAGAUUGAGGCCAAGUCCGGCGUUGCUUCGUGGAAACGAAUCUGACGAGGACCCAUGAGGAUGCAGGUUGGAACCCUGGCCCUGCUCAGUGGGUUAAGGAUCUGGCGUUGCCGUGAGCUGUGGUGUAGGUUGCAGACACGGCUCAGAUCUGACGUGGCUGUGGCUGCGGUGUAGGCUGGCGGCACAGCUCCGAUUUGACCCCUAGCCUGGGACCUCCACAUGCUGAGGGUGUGGCUCUACAAAGACAAAAAAAAAAAAAAACAAAAGAUGAAGGCCAGUCAAGAAGGGUUCCCUGUGUGGAUUCCACUGCUGGGUGAAAGAGGCAUCCCGGCCACACUGCCAGCCUCUGGGAAUCCUGUGGGGACUUCCUCUGCAGCUUUUCCCUUCCUUUUCAGGGUUCCAUGUGGAGGAAGCCAGUGGAGAGUGUGUCCGGUGCACAGACGGAGUGGAUUACACCAGUCAUCCAAACACCCUCUUUUCUUGCUUACGCUGCACGGUUUGCAAAUCAGGUGAAGAAGAGAAGACCCCUUGCACAGCAACUGCGGACACACGGUGUGAGUGCAAACCUGGAACUUUCCGUGAAGAAAACUCCUCCGAGUUCUGCCAGAAGUGCCACACCAGGUUGUGGACUGCACCGCAAAUUCAUGGACAAAGUGAGUUGGUUUCUCCAGGACCUGGUGGCCUCAGGCCCUCAGCAACGGCUUCCCACCCACCCCAGGGCCCCGGGUGGACACAGUGCCCAGUUUGUCCUGUGCUAUGGUCCCUGGCUCUGUCAAGUGGGGUGGGGGCUCUGGGCUGACUGUAGGGGCGCCAUUGGUCUGUUGAGAGCAGCCCUAAGGCGGGUUGGCAGGGCUAGUGCAGUGCUUCUUAGUGCUUGCAAGACACCCUCACCUCCUAACCCUAGAUGGACCCUGGGCUUGGGGUUGUCCAGCAGGGGUGCUGAGCCCCCUUAGCACAGCAC
rnacentral:lncRNA from 1 species